AUGGUGUGCUCGGCCACAUGCCUUGCUUGGUCCUAUGGGAUGUUAGUAGGUAUGAUAAGCAGAGGCCUAGGAUGUGUUCCACAGUUGGGCUUGCCCUCUUGGGCUUCUGCCAGCACCACAAGAAAUGUCUGCCCUGGUAGCACUAGUUCAAACAGGAUGAGAGACCUGUGGAGCAGACCUGGACCACACCUACAGCUCACAGCAAGCCCAGAUACCUCCUUGAAGACAGAGCUUAUCCAAUUUUGGAUGGGUGGUUUAACGCAUUAUGAACUAGCUAUAUAGUAGGAAGCCAUUAAAAAGGAAGAUGCAGGUAAGCAGUUUUCACGCCUUUUUGAAGCAGCUAAAAAUCUUCUGCGAAACUCAAAAUCACAGAGGAAAGUAAAGAGAAGAGCUUUGCUGUAAUCCGGGAGGGGAACCUGAAACACGGUCCACGUGUUUUCUUGGGUGCUAUGGGCCAGACACUUCCAUAUUCCAAGUUCUAGGGAGAACAGUUUAAAAACCAUAUUAUACAUCAACAUGCAGUUGAUGGUUUUCUUUAGAUGAUGAGAUUAAAGGUAAUUUCUUUCUUUCUUUUUUUUCUCUCUGUCCACAAAAAUGUAUUUUUUUAAAAGCAGGAAACAACACUUACUUUUUUUCAAGACACAUAUAUAAGGAACCGAAAAAAGUAUAGAACUCAGGUUUCUGACUCUUACUAGGGAACAAGUAAGUGACAAAAUAAAGUGACGCUUGUUGGGCCA
rnacentral:lncRNA from 13 species